GCUGGGCAUGGUGGUGCAUGCCUGUAGUCCCAGCUACUUAGGAGGCUGAGGCAGGAGGAUCACUUGUGCCCAGGGCCUUAAGGCUGCAGUGAGCUAUGAUUGCACCACUGCACUCCAGCCUGGGCAACAGAGCGAGAUUCUGUCAA
rnacentral:SRP_RNA from 1 species